rnacentral:rRNA from 1 species
GAUGAACGCUGGCGGCGUGCCUAACACAUGCAAGUCGAGCGAUUCUCUUCGGAGAAGAGCGGCGGACGGGUGAGUAACGCGUGGGUAGCCUGCCCUGUACACACGGAUAACAUACCGAAAGGUAUGCUAAUACGAGAUAACAUAAGAAAUUCGCAUGUUCUUCUUAUCAAAGCUCCGGCGGUACAGGAUGGACCCGCGUCUGAUUAGCUAGUUGGUGAGGUAACGGCUCACCAAGGCGACGAUCAGUAGCCGACCUGAGAGGGUGAUCGGCCACAUUGGAACUGAGACACGGUCCAAACUCCUACGGGAGGCAGCAGUGGGGAAUAUUGCACAAUGGGCGAAAGCCUGAUGCAGCAACGCCGCGUGAGCGAUGAAGGCCUUCGGGUCGUAAAGCUCUGUCCUCAAGGAAGAUAAUGACGGUACUUGAGGAGGAAGCCCCGGCUAACUACGUGCCAGCCGCCGCGGUAA